rnacentral:rRNA from 1 species
GACUAAAAAUAGCUCAAAAAAUAAGACUUUGUUAAUUACCCUAAUGAUAUAAAAUAAAACAUUUAUAGCAAUAUAAAAGUAUAGGCGAUAGAAAUUAUAUCUGACGCUAUAGAGAAAGUACCGCAAGGGAAAUUUUGAAAGAUAAUUCCAAGUAAUAAAUAGCAAAGCUUAUCCCUUGUACCUUUUGCAUAAUGAUUCAACUAGAAUUUAAUUAGCAAAAAGAAUUAUAGUUAAACAACCCGAAACCAGACGAGCUAUUUAUUAGCAGCCUUAAGAGCGAACUCAUCUAUGUGGCAAAAUAGUGAAAUGACUAAUAAAUAGAGGCGAAAAACCUAUCGAGCCUGGUGAUAGCUGGUUGUCCAAAUCAGAAUUUCAGUUCAGACUUAAAUCUGCAAAACAAAAAAUAAAUUAAGAUGUAGGUUUAAGUAUUAAUCUAAAAGGGUACAGCCUUUUAGACAAGAGAUACAACUCCUAUUAGAGAGUAAAUUUAUUAAAACUACAAUAGUUGGCCUAAAAGCAGCCACCAAAUAAGAUAGCGUUCAAGCUCAACAAUAGUUGAAAUUUAAUCCCAGCUGUAAUAAUUUAACUCCUAACAAAUAAGUAUAUUGGACUACUCUAUUAUUAAAUAGAGGCAAUAAUGUUGAUAUGAGUAACAAGAAUUAUUUCUCCUUGCAUACGUGUAUAUCAGAACGGAUGACCCACUGAUAGUUAUCAAAACUAACAUGCCCACAAACAAGAACCCAUAGUAAAUUGUUAAUCCAACACAGGAAUGCAGAUAAAGGAAAGAUUCAAAAAAGUAAAAGGAACUCGGCAACCAUAAACCCCGCCUGUUUACCAAAAACAUCACCUCUAGCAUAAAAAGUAUUAGAGGCACUGCCUGCCCAGUGACUUAAGUUUAACGGCCGCGGUAUCCUGACCGUGCAAAGGUAGCAUAAUCAUUUGUUCCCUAAAUAGGGACUUGUAUGAAUGGCUUCACGAGGGUUUGACUGUCUCUUACUUUAGAUCAGUGAAAUUGACAAUCUCGUGAAGAGGCGAGAAUAACAAAAUUAGACGAGAAGACCCUAUGGAGCUUUAAUUAAUUAAUUCAUAAUUUUAAAUUUAAUAAUUCUCUUAAGAAACAACUUUGUAUUAUUGAAUUAACAAUUUAGGUUGGGGUGACCUCGGCAAAAAGAUAAACUCCCGAGAUAAAUUAUAUUGAGACACACAAGUCAAAAUUAUUAAAUUAUUAUUGACCCGUAUAUAACGAUCAACGAAAUAAGUUACCCUAGGGAUAACAGCGCAAUCCUAUUUAAGAGUCCAUAUCGAAAAUUAGGGUUUACGACCUCGAUGUUGGAUCAGGACAUCCCAAUGGUGCAGCAGCUAUUAAUGUGUUCGUUUGUUCAACGAUUAAAGUCCUACGUGAUCUGAGUUCAGACCGGAGUAAUCCAGGUCGGUUUCUAUCUAUUUAUAAGUCCCUCCUAGUACGAAAGGACAAGAGAGACAGGGCCCACUUAAAAUAAGAGCCUUAAUUAAACAGAUGAAUUCAUCUAAAUCUAAUUAAAAUAAUAACAUCCCGAGAGAAGGGAUC